AGUGAACGCUGGCGGUAGGCCUAACACAUGCAAGUCGAACGAGUGGCGGACGUGUGUGGAAUACAUCGGAAUCUACUCUGUCGUGGGGUAACACGUAGGGAAAGUUACUCUAAUCCCACAUACUCAUGAAUGAGCCGAUGUGGGAUUAGCUAGUUGGCGGGGUAAAGGCCCACCAAGGCGACGAUCCGUAGCUGGUCUGAGAGGAUGAUCAGCCACACUGGAACUGAGACACGGUCCAGACUCCUACGGGAGGCAGCAGUGGGGAAUAUUGGACAAUGGGCGCAAGCCUGAUACAGCCAUGCCGCGUGGGUGAAGAAGGCCUUCGGGUUGUAAAGCCCUUUUGUUGGGAAAGCGGUACCCAAAGAAUAAGCACCGGCUAACUUCGUGCCAGCAGCCGCGGUAAUAC
rnacentral:rRNA from 1 species